UGAACAUGUGCGCGAGUCGCCGGGACCUGAACAGGCCCGCAGGCGCAACGAGAGCGAGACGUGCCGAAGAGCACGCUAGCCGCGAUCCGGGGCCCACGCGGUCCCGGCGCAGCGGCCGCCCGCCCCCCGGGGCGGAGCGAGAGCGYACACGUUGGUACCCGAAAGAUGGUGAACUAUACCCGGGCMGGACGAAGYCGGGGGAAACCCCGGUGGAGGUCCSCAGCGGUUCUGACGUGCAAAUCGAUCGUCGGAUCCGSGCYUAGGGGCGAAAGACCAAUCGAACCAUCUAGUAGCUGGUUCCUUCCGAAGUUUCCCUCAGGAUAGCUGGCGCUCGAGGGAUUCAGUCUCGUCCUGUAAAGCGAAUGAUUAGAGGCAUCGGGGCCGAAACGGCCUCGACCUGUUCUCAAACUUUAAAGGGGCGAGAAGUCCGCCUUGCCUAUUUUCAAACGAAGGCCGGACAUCAUCUGGAUGAGAGUGCCCAGUGGGCCACUUUUGGUAAGCAGAACUGGCGCUGCGGGAUGAACCGAACGCCGGGUUACGGCGCCCGAUGCGAGACGCUCACGAGACCCCAUGAAAGGCGUCGGUUGCUCAAGACAGCAGGACGGUGGCCAUGGAAGUCGGAAUCCGCUAAGGAGUGUGUAACAACUCACCUGCCGAAGCAACUGGCCCUGAAAAUGGAUGGCGCUUCAGCGUCGAGCCCAUACCCGGCCGCCGGCGCGGCCUGUAAGACUCCCGGACUCUGAACUAUGGGGAGCGUUGCCAYGCGCCGGCGAGUAGGAAGGGCGCCGCGGGGAGCGUGGAAGGUGUCGUGCGWGAGCACGCCUGGAGCCCCCGCGGGUGCAGAUCUUGGUGGUAGUAGCAAAUACUCGAGAGAGAAACCUUGAGGACCGAAGAACGGAGAAGGUUUCCAUGUGAACAGCAGUUGAACGUGGGUCAGUCGGCCCUGAGGGAUCGGAGAGAUCCGUUCCGAAGCGGGGGCCUUGAGCAAGCUCCCCGCGUGUCCCGAAAGGGAACGGGGUUAACAUUCCCCGACCCGGACACGGGAGUCGGGCCUUCGGGCCCAGAUGCGGUAACGCAAGCGAACUCGGUGACGGUGGCGGAGGACCCGGGGAAGAGUUUUCUUUUCUUCGUAAGAGGUCGUGUCCCUGGAAUCGGUUCGCCCGGAGAUAGGGACGUUGGCUUCGUAAGAGCGCCGCGUUUCUCGCGGCGUCCGGUCCCCCUCCGCCUGCCCUUGAAAAGCCGAGGGAGAGAUUAUGAUUCCCGUGCCGGACCGUACCUU
rnacentral:rRNA from 1 species